rnacentral:rRNA from 1 species
UACGAAGGGGGCUAGCGUUGCUCGGAAUCACUGGGCGUAAAGGGUGCGUAGGCGGGUCUUUAAGUCAGGGGUGAAAUCCUGGAGCUCAACUCCAGAACUGCCUUUGAUACUGAAGAUCUUGAGUUCGGGAGAGGUGAGUGGAACUACGGAGUGUAGAGGUGAAAUUCGUAGAUAUUCGCAAGAACACCAGUGGCGAAGGCGGCUCACUGGCCCGAUAUUGACGCUGAGGCACGAAA